rnacentral:snRNA from 1 species
GCUCGCUUCGGCAGCACAUUACUAAGUUGGAACGAUAACAGAAAAGAGUAACAGGACGAUACAGAGAAGAGGAACAGGGCCCUGCACAAGGACGACACGCAAUCUCAUGACACAUUCCAUAUUUUA